AUACUUACCUGGACGGGGUCAAUGGGUGAUCAAAAAGGCCCAUAGCCUAGGGCAGCGACCUCCAUUGCGCUUAGGAGGGGUGCCACCCUAAGGUCUCCUUAAACUGGGAGAGCCUACAUCAUUAUUUAUAGUAAUGGGGCUUUGCGUUCGUGCAGCCCCUUU